rnacentral:rRNA from 1 species
ACACAUGGGCAAAGUCGAGCGGUAACAGAUCCAGCUUGCUGGAUGCUGACGAGCGGCGGACGGGUGAGUAAUGCAUAGGAAUCUGCCCGAUAGUGGGGGAUAACCUGGGGAAACCCAGGCUAAUACCGCAUACGUCCUACGGGAGAAAGGGGGCUCCGGCUCCCGCUAUGGGAUGAGCCUAUGUCGGAUUAGCUAGUUGGUGAGGUAACGGCUCACCAAGGCCACGAUCCGUAGCUGGUCUGAGAGGAUGAUCAGCCACAUCGGGACUGAGACACGGCCCGAACUCCUACGGGAGGCAGCAGUGGGGAAUAUUGGACAAUGGGGGAAACCCUGAUCCAGCCAUGCCGCGUGUGUGAAGAAGGCCCUCGGGUUGUAAAGCACUUUCAGCGAGGAAGAACGCCUAGCGGUUAAUACCCGCUAGGAAAGACAUCACUCGCAGAAGAAGCACCGGCUAACUCCGUGCCAGCAGCCGCGGUAAUACGGAGGGUGCAAGCGUUAAUCGGAAUUACUGGGCGUAAAGCGCGCGUAGGUGGCUUGAUAAGCCGGUUGUGAAAGCCCCGGGCUCAACCUGGGAACGGCAUCCGGAACUGUCAAGCUAGAGUGCAGGAGAGGAAGGUAGAAUUCCCGGUGUAGCGGUGAAAUGCGUAGAGAUCGGGAGGAAUACCAGUGGCGAAGGCGGCCUUCUGGACUGACACUGACACUGAGGUGCGAAAGCGUGGGUAGCAAACAGGAUUAGAUACCCUGGUAGUCCACGCCGUAAACGAUGUCGACCAGCCGUUGGGGUGCCUAGCGCACUUUGU